rfam:Haemonchus contortus, ISE/inbred ISE, WGS project CAVP01000000 data, contig: Hcontortus_45793
CCAACGGCCCUCUUUAGGGCCACAUAAUACGAAUACCAUUAAUGUGU